UCCGUAGGCGGAUUGAUAAGUCAGAGGUGAAAUCCCACAGCUUAACUGUGGAACUGCCUUUGAAACUGUUAGUCUUGAGUUAUACGGAAGUAGAUAGAAUGUGUAGUGUAGCGGUGAAAUGCAUAGAGAUUACACAGAAUACCGAUUGCGAAGGCAGUCUACUACGUAUAUACUGACGCUAAUGGACGAAAGCGUGGGGAGCGAACAGGAUUAGAUACCCUGGUAGUCC
rnacentral:rRNA from 1 species